GCCGUGAUAGUAUAGUGGUAGUACAUAGCAUUGUGGCUGCUUUGACCCUGGUUCGAUUCCAGGUCGCGGCA
rfam:Dictyostelium purpureum unplaced genomic scaffold DICPTscaffold_322, whole genome shotgun sequence.